CUACAGGAACGUAACCCCUAUGUCUCAGGACAGAAUAAAGAUCAGGGUCAUUAGCCUGACACUCGCAUUAUCUAGAGACCCAAAUGAAAUCGUUGAGAUUCAGAUCUUUGUCUCAAGAAUCCGUGACCAACCUCGUCUGAGGUUGAUUAGGCUUUCAAAGGUGAAGGUAAUGGUUACCUUUAAACAUGUGGGUCUCAGGAUUCUUCCUAGGACGGACUACACAAUAUAUGUGGAGUAAAUCCUCAGUGGUGAAAUCCUGUCUUUCUCUCUGCAUUAGAGUGUCCACAUCCAACACAAUCCGCACAAAGUUCAUCAAUACUUGCAUAAAAGUAAGCUGGCACAUAGAUAGGACAAUCUGUAAUAACUAAGCGAAAAUCUCAACCUCGCUUAGUGGAUGAACCAAGGUCGGAUGGGCACGCGAUCACCCUCUCCCUUUACUCAAUCGGUAUCAUCAUUCGGGCAUGGCCAUUCUAUCACUACGUUGUUAGGGAUCCUAUGGUCAACCCGAAACCAAGCCAAAGACUUGUCAUCGUGAACUAGCAGUUGAGCCCGGUUUAUCGCCAUGUUCUAAAAAUAGAGGCAAACAGUCAGAACGAGCUCAAAAGUGUCACGACAGAUGAGGGCUACAUCAGCCAUAGGGGAAACCCUAUAUAAGACAAUCUACACCCACCUAGACUCUAUUCAGAAGCUUGCGGAUGUCUAACAAUGGCAAAAGGUCGACCACAAGCCUCCUAACACUGAGGAACACAAGAAUGGGGCUGUCUAAAAAUCGCAAACAACUAGAAACUAGGAAUCUCACAAAAAAAUCAACGAUAAUAAUAAUAAAAACUAACGGAUGCAGAAUGCACGAAGGAAUGACGACUCACCAUGAUGAUUAGAGAUGCUCUUGGAGUGUCCAGCAACAGAAUCAGAGCUAUCAUCAAAAAGAAAGAUCGAAAACACGGUGGGGUCACAGGGAUAAUUUCCUCUCUUUGGAAGUUGUAGAAUGACAUCGUGAAUAGUGAAGAACGCCUUAUAAAGAAGUCGAAGAGGUAGGAACCCAGCCAAACACGCCUUUAAAAAGCGUCGCUUCGCGGGUGAAGUAACCAAACAUGGUCAUAGGGAACAUCAUUUCACAAGCUGAUCGUCGCGGCCCAAUCAAUGGAUCUUGAACAUGUGGCAGCAUUCCCAUCGCACUCUGGAGCCCGACCUUGAGGGAAAAUCCCCCGUAUUUGCCAUCUUAGCAAAAUUUUUCGAAUGGAGGGGUCAGCUGAGCUCGAAAAACACUCUGGACUCGUCUUGUGAGGUUGCUAAGUAUGCAGGGCAAAGCUUUCACUAGCGGGUUAGUCGAGAUUGAAGAGAGCUCCGAACCACGUCCCGCGUAUUUGCCACACUUAGCAAAAUUUUUCGAAGAGAGGGGCCAGUUGAGCUAAAAAAAUGCUCUGGACUCGUCUCGUGAGGUUGUUAAGUAUGUAGGGCAAAGCUUUCACUAACGGGUUAGCCGAGCUCGAAGAGAGUUUCGAAACACAUUUGGCGUAUUUGCCACACUUAGCAAAAUUUUUUGAUGGGAGGGGUCAGCCGAGCUUAAAAACACUCCAGACUCGUCUCGUGAGGUAGCUAAGUAUACAGGGCAAAGCCUUCAUUGAUGGGUUAGCCGAUCUCGAAGAGAUCUCUGAACCACGUCCCGCGUAUUUGCCACACUUUGCAAAACUUUUUGAUGGGAGGGGCCAGCCGAGCUUGAAAAAUGCUCCGGACUCGUCUCGAAGAGAGCUCCGAACUACAUCCCGCGUAUUUGCCACACUUAGCAAAUUUUUUCGAUGGGAAGGGUCAGCUGAGCUCGAAAAACACUCCAAACUCGUCCCAUGAGGUUGCUAAGUAUGUAGUGCAAAAUCUUCAUUGACGGGUUACUCGAGCUCAAAGAGAGCUCCGAACCACGUCCCGAGUAUUUAACACACUUAGUAAAAUCUUUUGAUGGGAGGGGUCAGCCAAGCUCGAAAAAUGCUCCGGUGCUAAGUAUGUAGGGUAAAACCUUUACUGACGAGUUAGCCGAGCUCGAAGAGAGCUUCAAACCACGUCCCACAUAUUUUCCACAGCAAAAAUUUUGAUGGGAGGGGUCAGUCGAGCUUGAAAAAUGCUCCGGACUCGUCCUAUAAGGUUGUUAAGUAUGCAGGGCAAAACCUUCACUGACGGGUUAGCCAAGCUCGAAGAGAGGUCCGAAACACGUCCUGCGUAUUUGCCACACUUAGCAAAAUUUUUCAAAGGGAGGGGCCAGCCGAGCUCGAAAAACGCUCUGGACUCAUCCCGUGAGGUUACUAAGUAUGCUUUGUAAAAUUCAAGGGAAAGGUAGCCGAACCCAAAUUAGGGCUCCGAGCUUGUCCUAAGAGAUUUGAAUUUUGGUAAGGUUAACUUAGUUAAAAUGCGGGAGGGGUCAGCCGAGCUCGAAGAGAGCUCCGAACUAUGUCCACAAGAUUCGUUGUUUGGAAAUUUUUAAUAAAGCACACUUAACAAAGAUUUUAAAUGG
rnacentral:lncRNA from 1 species